rnacentral:snRNA from 1 species
AUCGCUUCUCGGCCUUUUGGCUAAGAUCAAGUGUAGUAUCUGUUCUUAUCAGUUUAAAAAAUAAAAGCUGUGGAGGGUAGGGUGUUACUGGAACCCCCCCCCCCCCCCCCCGAUU